rnacentral:rRNA from 1 species
GAUGAACGCUGGCGGCGUGCCUAAUACAUGCAAGUCGAGCGAACAGACGAGGAGCUUGCUCCUCUGACGUUAGCGGCGGACGGGUGAGAAACACGUGGAUAACCUACCUAUAAGUCUGGGAUAACUUCGGGAAACCGGAGCAAUACCGGAUAAUAUAUUGAACCGCAUGGUUCAAUAGUGAAAGACGGUUUUGCUGUCACUUAUUGAUGGAUCCGCGCCGCAUUAGCUAGUUGGUAAGGUAACGGCUUAUCAAGGCAACGAUGCGUAGACGACCUGAGAGGGUGAUCGGCCGCACUGGAGCUUGGACGCGGACCAGACUCCUACGGGAGGCAGCAGUAGGGAAUCUGCCGCAGUGGGCGAAAGCUUGGCGGAGCAACGCCGCGUGUGUGAUGAAGAUCUUCGGAGCGUGAUACUCUGUUAUUAGGGAAAAACAAAUGUGUAAGUAACUAUGCACGUCUUGACGGUACCUGGUCAGAAAGCAACGGCUAACUACGUG